AACAUGCUUAAUUCAAAGUAUUCAUAGAAAGAGAAUUACUUACUUACUUUUCUGAUUCUAAGUUUCUCAUCCCCCUUCUUCAUUCUACAAUCCUUAGUUCUUACUUUCAAUGUUUCUGCAAUUUUAUUUGAGAAUUUACUUUCCGGAAUUGUAAUUGAACUUUUGUGUUAUUAAUAUACUUGAGAACCAGAUUACUGUUACAUUGGAUUUGAGUUCAUUACAUAAGUCUCCCUCAGUUUUUGACUAUUAAAAACACACAAAUCAAAUCUCCAACAUACAUCUCGGCAAUCUCCAUUUUCCGGCGGAUUUGAUUGGAGUGCUAUGAAUUGCACAUCAUUCAACAGCCCAAGAGGUAUGAGAAAGAAGGGAAGCUUUCUGAGUUGGCCCAUAUUGACAUUUUUGUUAGUACAGUGGAUCCGUUGAGUUAGACCAUAUUGACACUUUUGUUAGUACAGUGGAUCCGUUGAAAGAGCCUCCACUUAUUACUGCAAAUACUGUUCUUUCCAUUCUGGCUGUGGAUUAUCCCGUGGACAAGGCUUCAUGCUAUGUCUCUGACAAUGGUGUCGCCGUGCUUACUUUUGAGGCACUCUCUGAAGGAUUUGAGUUUUCAAGGAAAUGGGUCAAACGCAACUCUCAACAUAAGAAGGAAACAGUAACACGCCUAAUGCAAUUCUAUAAUCAAAAGAUGGUGAACAUGAAGGAAACUGAAGUAAAGUUCUUUGAGAGGUUUGUCAACACAGUCAUAGAAAUGUUGUUACAACUUUUACGUUUGUCUUCUUUUCUCUCCUUUUACUUGAUUUGUUUCAAAACCCAGUAUCAUAUUCGGCAACAUCGAACAACCAAGGUUCUAAGAAAACUCUCUUCUACACUGGAAGCAAGCAUAGUGAUUUGGGUAGGGAUUUAGUAGCUCAGUUGGUUGGCUACCUGAACUCUCACCUUGUUGGUGAGAGUUCGAAUCCCACAUUAUAAUCCCCUUUCCCUACCCCUUAUGUAAUAAAAACAAUUUAAAAAAAAAAAAAAAGCAUAGUGAUUUGGGUAAGGGACUUUCCUUUUUUGUCAAUAACACUUCUUCAUCUCCUUUACGUUAUAAUUUUUGUUUAC